GAAGUGUUGAGAAGUGGAUUUCAAACCCACCCUAGGUACCAAUCCCCAGUUGCCUUCGGAAUAUAUUGGUUGCCUUUGGUAAAAUCUGUGCCUACAUAGAGACUACUCUGUAGGUGUCUGGCCAGAGUAUAUCGCAUGUACCUGUGUUAACGACGCAUGUGUUCGGCUAGUGUUUGCCUGUACCUGUAGUAAGGUUACUCUGUAAGUGUCCAACCAGUGAAUUGCCUGUACCUGCUUAUGUGGAUGUCCGGC
rnacentral:lncRNA from 1 species